rnacentral:piRNA from 1 species
UCUUCCAGGAAACCAUUUCAGUGCGUGC